rnacentral:pre_miRNA from 1 species
AAUAGAAACUUCCUCUUUCCCGGCGAAGGCCGGGGCCCAGAGCCGGACCCGAAGCGUUUGAUGAUCUCUGGAUCCCGGCCUUCGCCGGGAAAGAGGGGGUAUAUAGA